UACGUAGGGUGCGAGCGUUGUCCGGAAUUACUGGGCGUAAAGAGUUCGUAGGCGGUUUGUCGCGUCGUUCGUGAAAACUUGGGGCUUAACUCCAAGCGUGCGGGCGAUACGGGCAGACUUGAGUACUACAGGGGAGACUGGAAUUCCUGGUGUAGCGGUGAAAUGCGCAGAUAUCAGGAGGAACACCGGUGGCGAAGGCGGGUCUCUGGGCAGUAACUGACGCUGAGGAGCGAAAGCGUGGGUAGCAAACAGG
rnacentral:rRNA from 1 species